GACGAACGCUGGCGGCGUGCCUAAUACAUGCAAGUAGGACGCAGUUGCGAACGGGUGAGUAACGCGUAGGUCACUGCCUAUUAGAGGGGGAUAACAAUUGGAAACGAUAGCUAAUACCGCAUACUAGUAGAUGGACCUUCGUUGUAUUAGCUAGUAGGUAGGGUAAUGGCCUACCUAUGCGAAGAUACAUAGCCGACCUGAGAGGGGGAUCGGCCACACUGGGAAUGGGACUCGGCCCAGACUCCUACGGGAUGCAGCACGAAGGAGUCUGCGGCAAUGGGGGGAACCUUGACCGAGCAACGCCGCGUGAGUGAAGAAGGUUUUCGGAUCGUAGAGCUCUGUUGUUAAAGAAGCGGUACUUAACCAGAAAGGGACGGCUAACUACGUGCCAGCAGCCGCGGUAAUAC
rnacentral:rRNA from 1 species